rnacentral:rRNA from 1 species
GACGAACGCUGGCGGCGCGCCUAACACAUGCAAGUCGAACGGAGCUGAGAGAAGCUUGCUUUUCUUAGCUUAGUGGCGAACGGGUGAGUAACGCGUGAGUAACCUGCCCUGGAGUGGGGGACAACAGUUGGAAACGACUGCUAAUACCGCAUAAGCCCACGAUCCGGCAUCGGAUUGAGGGAAAAGGAUUUAUUCGCUUCAGGAUGGACUCGCGUCCAAUUAGCUAGUUGGUGAGGUAACGGCCCACCAAGGCGACGAUUGGUAGCCGGACUGAGAGGUUGGACGGCCAAAUUGGGACUGAGACCCGGCCCAGACCCCUACGGGGGGGAGCAGUGGGGGAUAUGGCCAAAGGGGGGAAACCCUGAUGCAGCGACGCCGGGGGAAGGAAGAAGGUUUUGGGAUUGUAAACUCCUGUUGUUAGGGACGAUAAUGGCGGGACCUAACAAGAAAGCACCGGCAAACUACGG